rnacentral:rRNA from 1 species
ACGAACGCUGGCGGCGUGCUUCACACAUGCCAGUCGCACGGAAAGGCCCUGCUUUUGUGGGGUGCUCGAGUGGCGAACGGGUGAGUAACACGUGAGUAACCUGCCCUUGACUUUGGGAUAACUUCAGGAAACUGGGGCUAAUACCGGAUAGGAGCUCCUGCUGCAUGGUGGGGGUUGGAAAGUUUCGGCGGUUGGGGAUGGACUCGCGGCUUAUCAGCUUGUUGGUGGGGUAGUGGCUUACCAAGGCUUUGACGGGUAGCCGGCCUGAGAGGGUGACCGGCCAAAUUGGGACUGGGAUACGGCCCAGACUCCUACGGGGGGCAGCAGGGGGGAAUUUUGCACAAGGGGGGGAAGCCGGAUGCAGCAACGCCGCGGGCGGGAUGACGGCCUUCGGGUUGUAAACCGCUUUCGCCUGUGACGAAGCGUGGGUGACGGUAAUGGGUAAAGAAGCACCGGCUAACUACGU